CGCCUUAGCAGAAGCUACCCGAGGGUGCGGAAAGAAAUACAAAUAUCCCAUAGGCUGUGCGCCUGCGCGGAGGCGGUGGCGUUCUCCGCGCGCUCACAGGCGAUCGGCGUCCUAAUUUAUGGCACCUGGAGAGUGGUUCAAGAAAAUCAGCUCCCCGUGCACCGCUCGGAGGCGGGUUGAGCUGCAGUGUCUUCUGUUUCUCAGGGGAAACUGAGGCCAGUAGAGGUUGCCCAACUGCCCUCCCCCCCAACUCUGCAGUCUCUCCCAGCCCCCACCCAGCUGCCAGGAAUGGGACCACCCAUGAGUACAGAACAGAAAAAAAGGGUCCUUUGUUCCAGGAGAUGCUAGAGACCCAGCUGAGAAGAGAAUGAACUUGCAAACUUGAUUCAACCACAGGCCUUGUGCCGUGACCAAUAAAGGAUGCUCCUGCAAGCAGCUCCCCAGCUCUCCCCAGACCUGCCACCACCACCUCCAUCAUCUCCACCUGCCAGUCUGCCUGACUCCAUCUGCAGAGGAGAGACACGGCUGGAAACUGAGAGAGGAGGCUUCACAGGGCCCCACUGCCUGGACCACGGGCGCUGGGUUAGAGCAAGGCAGCCCUUCAUCAUUUCUAGCAAAGUCCGUUUCCUACUUGGCAGGGGGCACUGCUCCUCUCUGGGCACCUUGGAGUCUCCUGCCUUCCAGGAAAAACAUCAGGGAAACCUUGGGUCACCUCGCUUGGCUGACAUCACCCAUCUAGACCUCAUCCAGUCCCAGGUCCCGCAAAAACAAAAGCCGUUGGACCUCAAAGGGUUGCCCUUCUUUCAGCCAGAAUACCUCUCGAAAAUGAUCUUCUUGAUGAGAGAGAUCUCUCUGUGCUGAGGUGGGCAGAUAAAUUAAGUUAAAAAAUGGAAAAUAUCAACACACUGCUCAGUCCAGCUCCGCGUUUUAUUUUUUGGCCGCUCCACACAGCAUGUGGGAUCUUAGUUCCCCAGCCAGGGAUCGAACCCACACCCCCUGCACUGGAAACUUGGAGUAGUUCUGACCAUUGGACUUCCAGGAAAUCCACCCCCUCUCCAACCUACUUUUUAAAAAUACACACUUUAAAAAAAGAAAAAGCUGUCAGAAUAUUAGCCAAAAGCAUUCCCUUUGGUUAUGUCUGAGGGUGGGAUGACAGAGGACAUUCUAUGCUCCAUGUUUCUACGAUGUUUUCAUUGAAGGAUUGCUUAUGUAGUCAGGAAUAACAGAGUGUUUGAAAAGGGGAAUGGCGAGGGGUUCUUGGGGUCCUUGAUGUCUUGAGAAGCCAGGUGGGUUGACAGGCAGGAUUCUAGAACAGUUCAUUCAAGAGUCUGAGAGACCACUUUCCCCAGGUUGGGGAAAUUUCAGCCUUUGGUCCAGGACUGAGUCAUCCUGAAGCAGAAAGGAAAAAUGAGUGAUGCUAAAGAAAUCUGAGCACCGAAGAACUGAUGCUCAUGAACUGUGGUGUUGGAGAAGACUCUUUAGAGUCCCUUGGACUGCAAGGAGAUCCAACCAGUCCAUCCUAAAGGAAAUCAACCCUGAAUAUUCAUUGGAAGGACUGAUACUGAAGCUGAGGUUCCCAUACUUUGGCCACCUGAUGUGCAGAGCUGACUCAUUAGAAAAGACCCUAAUGUUGGGAAAGAUUGAAGGCAGGAGGAGAAGGGGACGACAGAGGAUGAGAUGGUUGGAUGGCAUCACCGACUCGAUGGACAUGAGUCUGAGCAAGCUGUGGAAGAUGGUGAAGGGAUAGGAAGCCUGGCGUGCUGCAGUCCAUGGGGUCACAAAGAGUCCGACACGACCGAGUGACUGAACAACAACAGAAGAAAUCAUCGCUUCAUCUCUCUUCUUAAAAGUGUGUGUCUGCACUGCUAUAGUUAUUAAUAAGAUGGAUAACAAGGAUCUACUGUACAACACAGGGAACUCUGCUCAAUGUUAUGUAGCAGCCUGGAUGGGAGGGAGUUUGGGGGAGAAUGGAUACAUGUGUAUGUAUGGCUGAGUCCCUUUGCUCUUCGCCUGAAAGUGUCACAACAUUGUUAAUUGGCUAUACUCCAAUAUAAAAAAAGUUCAAAAAAAUUCCUAACGUGAUGCUGUGUCGAGAAGCAUACACAAGAACAGGUGCUAGUCUUUCUGCCCAGGAAGUGGAGCCAGGUGGCCAGGGGUGGUGAGGACCAAGAUAGAGGUUUCACUCUACCUUUUCUGGUACGUUUUGAAUUAUAAACCAUGUGUAUGUAUUACCUACUCAAAAAAAAUAAAUAAAAUUUAAACGUGAAAAUCA
ensembl:lncRNA